rnacentral:rRNA from 1 species
CCUACGGGGGUCAGCAGUGGGGAAUAUUGGGCAAUGGGCGCAAGCCUGACCCAGCAACGCCGCGUGAAGGAAGAAGGCUUUCGUGUUGUAAACUUCUUUUGUCAGGGACGAAGCAAGUGACGGUACCUGACGAAUAAGCCACGGCUAACUACGGCCCAGCAGCGGCGGUAAUACGUAGGUGGCAAGCGUUAUCCGGAUUUACUGGGUGUACAGGGCGUGUAGGCGGGACUGCAAGUCAGAUGUGAAAACAACGGGCUAAACCUGUGGCAUGCAUUGGAAACUGUAGUUCUUAGGUACUGAGAGGCAGACGGAAUUCCUAGUGUAGCGGUGAAAUGCGUAGAUAUUAGGAGGAACACCAGUGGCGAAGGCGGUCUGCUGGACAGCAACUGACGCUGAGGCGCGAAAGCGUGGGGAGCAAACAGGAUUAGAUACCCUUGUAGUC